GCCGGAGUGGCGGAAUUGGCAGACGCACAGGACUUAAAAUCCUGCGAGGCCUAUAACCUCGUACCGGUUCGAUUCCGGUCUCCGGCACCA
rnacentral:tRNA from 1 species